rnacentral:rRNA from 1 species
AGUGAACGCUGGCGGUAGGCCUAACACAUGCAAGUCGAACGGCAGCACAGUAAGAGCUUGCUCUUACGGGUGGCGAGUGGCGGACGGGUGAGGAAUACAUCGGAAUCUACUUUUUCGUGGGGGGUAACGUAGGGAAACUUACGCUAAUACCGCAUACGACCUACGGGUGAAAGCAGGGGAUCUUCGGACCUUGCGCGAUUGAAUGAGCCGAUGUCGGAUUAGCUAGUUGGCGGGGUAAAGGCCCACCAAGGCGACGAUCCGUAGCUGGUCUGAGAGGAUGAGCAGCCACACUGGAACUGAGACACGGUCCAGACUCCUACGGGAGGCAGCAGUGGGGAAUAUUGGACAAAGGGCGCAAGCCUGAUCCAGCCAUACCGCGUGAGUGAAGAAGGCCUUCGGGUUGUAAAGCCCUUUUGUUGGGAAAGAAAAGCAGCAGGUUAAUACCCCGCUGUUCUGACGGUACCCAAAGAAUAAGCACCGGCUAACUUCGUG